ACUCUCUGGAUUCUGAGGUGGGUCCUCCGUUGAUAAUUAAAUCUCUUUGUAGAUAUUACCAAUGACUUGAAAGAAGGUCGAAUAUGCACGUGGCUACUUAGUAUUAUUCUAUUGUUCAAGUUGCAAUUGAACAGUAUACUGUUGUCUAUAUUAUUGCGAAAUGGCAUUGUCUUACAUUGUUUUCCACGAUGAAGGAAACUGCGGAUGCUUCUGUAGAGUCGCUCACAAGCUAUCCGUGCAUUGCAAGUCCUACAGUCUACUCACCACCUCCUGCAGCCUCCCUCAAUUCCUUUAUGGGCGAGAUUGGAACCGGAUUCCUUCAAAGAAGUGGAUCAGCUUUUCUGAAAAAAUCAUACACGAGUGAUGAUG
rnacentral:lncRNA from 1 species